rnacentral:tRNA from 1 species
GCAGUAGUAGUUCAGUGGUAGAAUUCUCACAUUCCGUGUGGGAGACCCGGGUUAGAUUCCUGGCCAAAGCA